UCCCAGACUCCUACGGGAGGCAGCAGUGGGGAAUAUUGCGCAAUGGGGGCAACCCUGACGCAGCAACGCCGCGUGCGGGAUGAAGGCUUUCGGGUUGUAAACCGCUUUCAGCAGGGAUGACAUCGACAGUACCUGCAGAAGAAGCCCCGGCUAACUACGUGCCAGCAGCCGCGGUAAUACGUAGGGGGCGAGCGUUAUCCGGAUUCAUUGGGCGUAAAGCGCGCGCAGGCGGGCUUGCAAGCGGGGCCUUUAAUCUUGGGGCUUAACCUCAAGUCGGGUUCCGAACUGCAAGCCUCGAGUGUGGUAGGGGAAGGCGGAAUUCCCGGUGUAGCGGUGGAAUGCGCAGAUAUCGGGAAGAACACCGAUGGCGAAGGCAGCCUCCUGGGCCACUACUGACGCUGAGGCGCGAAAGCUGGGGGAGCGAACAGGAUUAGAUACCCUUGUA
rnacentral:rRNA from 1 species